CUUCCUUCUAAAUAUCAAUAAAAAAAGAUAAAAAUGCAAGAACUAGCAUAAAUAAAUCCGAACCAGUGUUGAAUCUCCUUUCUUGAAAACUCUAGCAACCCUCAUUUCUAUAAAUUUGCUUAGAUCUCCUUCUUCAUAGCUCCAUUUUUUGCAUGCUAUAGCUUAUUUGAAAGCUUACAAUCAGAUCUAGUUUCUCUCUAAAUAUCAACACAAAAAGAUAAAAAUGCAAGAAGUGGCAUAGAAAAAUCCAAACCAAUAUUGAAUCUUUCUUUUAAAAAAUUCCAGCAAAAAAAAAAAUCCUAUUUGAUUUCAAAAUCUCUAUCUUAACCUUCUUUCAAUACCUGCCUUGAACUACUAUGUAAUUGGGUAUCUAUCCUAAAAGACAAUAUCCUUAAGCUCAAAUAAUCAUUCAAGCCAACAACCUCUUAUUCUAAAUUCCAUUCAAAUUUGUAAAUAUAUUAGCAAUAAGUUCCUCCUCUCCUACCA
rnacentral:lncRNA from 1 species